UACGUAGGGGCCUAGCGUUGUCCGGAUUUAUUGGGCGUAAAGAGCUCGUAGGCGGUUCGGUAAGUCAGGUGUGAAAUCUCCACGCUCAACGUGGAGGCGCCACCUGAAACUGCCGUGACUCGAGUCCGGUAGGGGAGUGUGGAAUUCCCGGUGUAGCGGUGAAAUGCGCAGAUAUCAGGAAGAACACCAAUGGCGAAGGCAGCUCUCUGGGACGGUACUGACACUGAGACGCGAAAGCGUGGGGAGCGAACAGG
rnacentral:rRNA from 1 species